GCCCCAUAACACCCAUGAUGCUUUCAUAUACAUGUAAGAUUUCAUUACCUCAUUAAAGGUCUUUUUACUAAAAUUUAAGCAAUUUUAGAUUUCUUUUUUCUCAAUUUGAGACCCUAAAAAUGCAUAUGCAAAUAUAAGAUAUAUGAGUCUGAGUCAGCCUUUUCCCCGCCAUUUUUUAAAAUCAAAAUAUCUCGAAUAGGAGCUCUAUAACCUAUCAAUAUUUUUAGCUUAUUUUAUUCCUUAUCUCAUGUUCUUCCAACUUAAAGUAUCCAUUUUAAUACCUUAAUUGUUUUAAUUUCACUUUAAUUUUAAUUUCUUGAUUAUUUUUUUUAAUUUCACCUUAGUACAUCCUUAACAGUGACAAAG
rnacentral:lncRNA from 1 species